rnacentral:misc_RNA from 1 species
AAAGUCUCUGAGAUACGUUGGAAGGUAUAUAUCAUGAUAACAACUACAAUAUUUCUAGUUUUUAAAUUGUUCAUUUGGAAUUUAAUUAUUGCAAUUAAAUGUUAGUUGGUCUGUUCUGUCAUCACUGAUUGAUAUUCCUGAUUAUUGAAUGGAAAUGGACAGUCUAUUAUCCACUGAUAGGGAUAAUAUAGGAGGUUAAACAGUCUCUACCUCCUGGCUUUCUUCACAGGAUUCUGCUUUCGAAGCUUUCUGUGCUAUGGCACAUGACAUGAAAUUUGGUCUGAUAAUAUUUGCCUUCAACUUGUCAUCUGUUUGGUUGCCUGUUUUCUUCUCUCUGAUUCAGGGUCUUAAGUUGAUGUAUAAAUUCUCCUUUCCCUUCUUUUCCUUUUAUUUUUCUUGAGAAAAUCUGAAACAUCAUCGACAGUGUGUUAGUUAUUUCUCUCUAGUCUUAAUCGUUCUCGAACUUGAACGAGUUUCUCUGAUUACUUUUCACUCUAAUAAAUUUUAUGUUGCACAACAGAACGCUAUAUUUGUAGCAGAAUCCAUUUUUAAAGCAAAACGUGUUGUCACUUUCAUAAAAAUUGUCCGAAACAAGUUAGUCCAUUCAACUUGUCUUUGUUGAGUGAGAAAAUUUCAAAAGUCCAUUCCACUACCUUUCAAACCUUGCAAUCAAAAGGUAUCAAGUUGAAAUACUGAGGGAUUUCAUAGCCAUUCUGCUUAGUUGACUGGUGCUGCUUCUGAUACAUCUGAACCAAUUAUUUAUUAAGUCUAGGACACCUGACCUCUUAUAUCUAGUAUUUGGAUAUUUUGGUAAUUUAACCUACUAAAUUGGUAGUCCAUAUCUAAUCACAAUCAGUUUUGAGCUAUUUAAAUAGCACAAAAGCUAUUUUUUGCAGGAGUCCUUAUGGUUAUCCAUUUGUUUUCUUAAUCACUGCAACUAUUUCCAUGUUAUCAAAUUUGAAGUUGCCAACAGGGGUAAUGUUGUGCUUAUACUUUGUAUUUACAUGUGAUCUGCAAUUGGUGGGCAUAUCUGCUUAAUGGUUCUUCUUGAAGAGUUGAAUGUCCUACUGUCCUUGUUUUACAGAAUUUGAUACUGACCAUUUUUCUAAAUUAUGAUCUAGCUUUGUUAUGUUCCAUUAAAAUUUCAUAAUUUCUGAUGACAUAUUCUUGGUCAACAGCAUGGUGGCUGAUGUGCAUCGC